rnacentral:lncRNA from 1 species
AUGGAUCCUUCAUUUGCAUAUUUCGCCUCCGGAUCCCUGAAUGUCACCUCCGUGUCCCCAUGGACCCCAAAAUGUCCCCGCUGCCACCUCCUGUGUCCCCAGAUGUCCCCUCUGUCACCCCCCAAUGUCCCCAUGGACCCCAAAAUGUCCCCACUGCCACCUCCUGUGUCCCCAAAAGUCCCCUUCUGUCACCCCCAAUGUCCCCAUGGACCCCAAAAUGUCCCCACUGCCACCUCCUGUGUCCCCAAAUGUCCCCUCUGCCCCCAUACAUACAUGUGUCCUCCCCUAUUUACAUGUCCCCCGUACACACGCGUGUGUUCUUCUCAUGUCCGUGCCAUGUGCACACGUGUGUGCCCCCUACACGUACCUGUGUGCCCACAUAUGACCCCCCCCACGCACACGCGUGCCCACACGUGUUCCCUUAUGCACACGUACACCCACAUAUGUGACCCCCACGCACACGUGUGUCCACGUAUGGACACUCCCAUGUACCUGUGUGCCCGUAUACGAGCCCCCUGUGCACACGUGUGCCAUGUAUGUUCCCCCGUGCACGCGUGUGUGCCCAGAUAUGUUCCCUUAUGCACACAUGUAUGUCCACAUACGUGCCCUUCAUGCACACAUGUAUACCUAUAUGUGCCCCCCAUGCACACGUGUACCCACAUAUGUGCCCCCCAUGCACACAUAUACCCAUAUAUGUACCCCUCAUAUACACGUGUGCCCACAUAUGUGCCCCCCAUGCACACGUGAGCCCACAUAUGUGCCCCCCAUGCACACGUGUGCCCAUAUAUGUGCCCC